rnacentral:rRNA from 11 species
AGCAAACUGUGCGUCAUCGUGUGAACUGCAGGACACAUGAACAUCGACAUUUUGAACGCAUAUCGCAGUCCAUGCUG